CAAUAGCGUAUAUUAAAGUUGUUGCAGUUAAAAAGCUCGUAGUUGGAUUUCGGGACGGGCCAGUUGGUCCGCCGCAAGGUGUGUUACUGACUGGUCUGUUCUUCUUCGCAAAGACUGCGUGUGCUCUUCGUUGAGUGUGCGUAGGAUUUACGACGUUUACUUUGAAAAAAUUAGAGCGUUCAAAGCAGGCUAUCGCUUGAAUACAUGAGCAUGGAAUAAUGGAAUAGGACUUUGGUCCUAUUUUGUUGGUUUCUAGGACCGAAGUAAUGAUUAAGAGGGACAAUUGGGGGCAUCCGUAUUUCGUUGUCAGAGGUGAAAUUCUUGGAUUUACGAAAGACGAACAACUGCGAAAGCACUUGCCAAGAGUGUUUUCAUUAA
rnacentral:rRNA from 1 species